AAAAACCGGAUGCAUAUGACUCGAAUUCCCUAGCCCAUGUGCAUGGCUCAUCACUUUACCAAAAUUUCCCCACUUUGCUAUCCUUUCUCAUGCUAUUACCAGACGGCUGAAGCUUCCUUUGCCAUGCUGUGCUAAAGGUUCCCUGCUUUGCUCCCCAAGCUCUGUACUUCCUUUGCCUUCCUAUAUACAGCUUUGGAGCUUAAGUGUCAGUAAGCCUUCGAUAUGGCUAUUAUGCGGAUUGCUGUAUGGUGCUGGGACCAAGCUCUCAAUUGAUGGAGGCUAGUUCUUUAUUUGCAGAGCCGGUUGAAGCUAGAGAUGAUAAUUGGAAAGAGGCUCUUCUUUAUGGCUUCUCUGAGAAGCCAGAAUUAUGCAAGGAAACCAAUUGGAGUGCUUCAAAUUAUUUGAUUGUUGGAUCAUAUGGUCGCAAAGAAACCUAAAAUUCUUUGAAUUUGAGUUGGUAAUAUCUGAUUGCACCAUAAUCAACAUAAUGAAAUCCUUGAGGCAAUUGCAAACAAUGGCUUUGUGCUACUGUCUUGGUGAUAUAUCCAUAUCAAGCUUCUACUUCUCUAUGCCAACUGAGGAAAUUGAGGCUUGAAAGGUUAUGGCAUCUGGAGUUAAAUUUUUCAAGCUAGUAUGAUUAUUUUGUCAGGUGACAAAUCCAUGGCUUCCUUUUCAUUUUAAAGAUAGAAAAUGAUACUCUUGUGCUAGUUAUAAGCUCUUUUCUGGAUGCCAAUUCAUGGCUUUCUUUUGAUCUCUUUAUCUCUUUCCUUAAAAAUUGAAUUAUCUAGUUAAAUGCAUAAUCAUUCUUCAAGAUGUAGUAUCUGUUAUGACUUGAUCUUUUUGUCACAUAGGAUUAUGGAGAAGUGACCGUAAGUGGUGUUUGUUCUCUUUUCAAUUGCACUGCACUUGAAGAUCUCUUGCUGCGGCAUAAUGAGUCGCGCUACAAUAACAAGGAUCGUAAAAAAUCAUUUCCACAGUCCAAGGCCGACACGGAAGAAAGUCCUUAAUGACGUAAAGGACUUAAUGUUUAAAAAAUUUCAGGAAAAAUGUGUUUGGCCUACAAAUCAAAAUGUUUUGGUUCGACGGAUAUGGGAUAAAAUUUGUUCUAAUUAAUUAAGAAACAAGCUUUUAGAAUAGAGGAACAAAGCAACCACAAAUGCCAAAACAGGUGACAUUAGGGAUUGCGAAGGCAUGUCAAGGGAAUGGAUCACAAAUAAAAUUUGGGAUGCCUUUAUCGAUAUGGUAUGAGAUAUAGAAAAAUGGCGAAACAAAUUGGGAAAAGCAAGGCAAAAUCACUUAUGAUGAUUUACAUUUACGUUUAUAUUUGUUUGAUAUUUUUAAAUAUUGUGUAUUUGUGACUAUUUUUAGUGGUAUGAACUUGACUUUGAAUUUUAGUUUUUAACGCGUGUUUUUUCUUAUAAAUUUUGAAUGUGAAUUUUGGAUGUCAAUUGAUGAUUUAGUCAUCAUUGAUAAAAUUUUGAAUGUGAAUUUUGGAUGUCAAUUGAGAAAAGCAAGGCAAAAUCAUUUAUAAUGAUUUAGUUUUAUGUUUACAUUUGUUUGACGUUUUAAAAUAUUGUGUGUUUAUGACGAAUUUUAAUGGUAUGAACUUGACUUUGAAUUUUAGUUUUUAAUGCUUGUUUUUUCUUAUAAAUUUUGAAUGUGAAUUUUGAAUGUCAAUUUAUAAUUUAGUCAUCAUUGACAAAAUUUAGAGAUUUUGGUUGGUAAUUUUUGUUGGAAAGGCAUUACCGACAAAACAUUUCAUUGGAAAUUUUCAAUGAAAUUUCUUUGGAACAACAUUUCCAACUGAAAUUUUGUUGGAAAUGCUUUUCCAACAGAAUUUCGUGAUAAAUUUUCAAAUUUCAUUGGAAAUUUCUGAUAGAAUAUUACGUUGGAAAGACAGUUCCAAUAGAAUUUCGUUGUAAACUUUUGACGGAAUUUCAUUGGAAUUACUUUUUCAACAGAACAUUUUGUGGAAACUUUUCAUUGAAAAUUUUCAACAAAAUUCCAUCGAAACUGUUUUUCCAGCGGAAUAUUCCAUUGGAAUUUUAAACUUGUCCAAUGGAAUUGAUGUAAUAUAGUGUUUGGAAUUAUAUACUUUUUUUGACGAAAUUAUGUAUUUUUUUCACUAGAUUUCAGAUUAUACUUUUACCGACGGAAUUUUCAAUAGAAAUUUUUGAUGAAAAUCCAUUGCAUAAAAGCAUUUUCAACGGAAUUUUAACUUUUCUCAAUGAAAAAUUCCAUUAGAAAAGCUUGAUUUUUGGUAGUGUUUCAUUGUCUGCCUUUCUUUUUAACUGCUACUCUCUUCUUUUCUUUUCUACGUCCUUUUUUUUUUUUCUUCUUUGAAGGCUUUUUUUUAAAAAAAAGUUUGUUCCUUGCUUUUGUUUUUCUUUUGUUCAUUUUCUUUAGUGUUAUCCAUUAUUUGAGUGUUUUUUUUCUUUUUUCUAUGAUCAAAUGAAUACAUGCCCUUAAUUGGCUUGAUCCCACUCUAAUGGUGGCUUUUGUCGUGUUUCUUUUUAGGGCACGAUAGUAGUUUGAUCUCGCUGUGGUUGUUUUCCGUUUAGGGAACAGAAUAAAGUGCACUUGAGUCAAAUGAUGAUGGUCUAUAUGAUAGGUGGCUACAAAAUGAAAAUGAAAACAUCCUUGUUGAGAAUAUGAAUGAUAAAAGAUCAAGAUUCAACUUUGCAGAGAAACCUUGGGCAAAUGAUUCAUCAUUUUCUAAUAUUGUAGAGGUAAGUUAACAAGAGCCAACAGCACCUAAUGCAGAUGUGCAUGUGAGAGGCAAGGAUGAAAUAAUGGUUCAACCCUGGCACUCUCAAGAAUCAAUUCAACAGACUCAGGAAAUUGUUUUUGCCAAAGGUGUCAUGAGUCUUGUGGUUGCUAGAAAUCUUGAGGGCACGUAUUGGUCGAUAAAGUUGAUGGUUUUGAUAAUGUUCAUGGAAACACAUCCUCGACCAUGUCAAAUGUCGAGAAGGUUAAUGCAUCUAUGGCUCAUUUUGAUAGUGACUCAUUUAUGGACUCAUUUCCUGAUAUUGUUGAUGUCGAUCCAGACACUAGUUCAGACUAGGAACUAAGGUGAGAAGAAUGAUAAUCCUUGUACUAUUUCUCUGUUAAAGUGAAAAAUCCAUGUUAGAAAUAUUAAUGGUGUGAUCUUGUGUUUGCCUUGUUCUGAUUACUUUGACUUGCAAUCUUCUCCCAGUUGUGCUUAUAAGUAAACUGAGAGGAAGGCAAGAAGGAG